rnacentral:hammerhead_ribozyme from 1 species
AUUAGCUGAUGAGUUUCAAGUAGGGCGAAACGCGCUUCCUGAAU